UGAAUAGGCAAUGACUGAUGGUCACGCCUACCUAUUACACCUAUUACUAUUCUGGCACUUCAGAACGUGCUGGCCACAGGACCAGGUCAGUAAGCUGAGACGUGAUGAGAUGGGAUGGCACUGGAGUUCAGCCUUCUAGACUGGGACUCACGUGACUCACUGCACAGCCCCAUGCCUCCCACCAUCCCAGGUUCUUGACCUAGAAAUGAGUCUGAGUCCAGCUGUCAGAUUCCAUCAGAAAGCCCCUCCCUGCCGACACCCAGCCUCUGUAGGAGACAGCCCCUAGAGCUUCCAUGGAUAGAUCAUGUACCCAAGUCAUCUUCAAUGCUGUGGGAACCCAGACUCUCCAAAAAAAAUGGUCACAGCCCCUCAGAGUUCACUCUCCUGGCAUUGAACUUGACAGGUUUACAGAGCAGCAGAGAGAACACAGAAACUCACAAACCCUUCACUGUCCUUGAGCUCCCACAGGUCAGUUCACUCAGCCAGGUCACCAGACAAACAUGUCCUUUUCUGCAUUCUUUGCUGGUGGUCUCUCCUUGUUGGAGCCAGUUUCCAAAGGACCAUGAUGUGCCCUUACUGCUCACUGCAUCAUUUGAGUUCAGCAACCCAUUCUGGGUUCACCCCCAGGGCCGCAGUGGUAGAGAGCCUACACUGGGUCAAGUGCAGUACUGGGACCUGUGGUUGUAGUGAGCAAGUAAUAAACUGCCCUCAUGAGCUCACAUCUCCACUCUCAAGUCCCUGAAGAAAGAUUCCCCUUGAGCUAAGUCAGAGAGAAAAGACAGAUCUGCUGCCCUGGCUGCCCACAGAGGAAUUUGAUGAAGUGGCGAAGUCCCUGGUGGGGGCAGGGAGCAUCACUGUGGGUGGCCAGCCCUAGGAGAGGUCCCCCUGAACACCCUCUUCCAGCAGACACUCCUAGAGAUGGGUGCCCCCCUCCCUGCAGUGGUCUCCGGGGGAGAUCCUCAACAGCCUUUGCACCACUCCCUUCUCGCCCCAGCCCACCACAAAAUGGUGGACAAACCCGGCUCUGCCCUCCCAAGAGGGCAGGGUUCACUCCAGUUUUGCCCGUCACUGUGUCCAGUGGUGUGCAGGUAAAUGUGUAACCAUCAGCUUGCUGCAAAAAGGAAAGCCCUGAUUCACAGCGUUUGACAGUUUCCAUGGUGUAAGUAUUCCCACCAUAGCCGAUUUCAGGCUACCAACAUGCAUAACUGAACGUGGAGUCAAAAAGAGAUGCCCCCUACCAUGGACUAUUUCCACCCCACAGACACAGCAGACCGGGAGACAGCAAACAGUGGCUGAGGGGCCAGAUUCCGCUCUUGGCCUGCAGUACCUGAAACCUUUGCUCUCUGGCCCUUGUAUAGAAAAGGUUUGGCGACCCCUGCGAUAGACAUAAAUAACCUCCAGAACAGAGAUACCAGUGAAAUGUAGUAAAAUAAUUAGGAAGUGAUGUGUUUUAUUACCUUUUAAAAUAUAUAAUUUAUUUAAUGGUAACUUUAUAUAAUUUAAUUUUAUUUAAUGGCUGUUUGACAAUCAGCUUGCAAGCUUCCUGAUAAAUUAACGGUUGGCUCUUGUGAGCCGGUAGGCUAACUUCAGCAAGCCACUGCUAUUUCUCUGGGCCUGGCCCAGAGGAGGUACGUGCUAGUUAUCUGUUGAAGGGCUGGAAAUCUACCUGCAAUGCCUACGUUCUAAUCGCUGGGUGACAUUGCCCCGCUCUUUCACCCUUUCACUCCAUUCCAUCAAAAACCUAUCUAUUAGCAGCUACUGAGUUCCAGGGCCUCUAUUGGAUGCUACAGAUCCAGUCUACCCAGGAUGUUCCCACCUUGGAGCUCACAGUCGAGUGGCAGGAACCAGGCGUCAUCUCCCCACAAAAAUCACCAGCACCCUAGGAAAAAAAAAUUCACAGGGACCUCAUGAAGAGCCCAAAUGCCACGCUGCUGCUGACUGGUGAAAACGAUGUCUGGCACAGCCUUACGGAGAACCGAAGGCCAUGGAUCAUGUUUUAAAAAAUAAAAACCACUGUGUUUUUCAGAUUAAUUGCCUCUCUCUCCCACACCAGCCUUUGUGGUGAGCUCUUCAAAUUGACCAAUUUAAAUGUGACCUCCUUUCUUUACCCUCCAUCCGCUCUGAGUCAGUUGCUAAGAAGCAAUGAAAGGAAGUGGAGGGGUGAUGUGUUGCAUGUGUGGGGAACAUGUGGUUCUUCCAAAACUUAGCCUCCCCUCCCUUCGCAUUAGCCCCUUCAGACAACCUUCGGAUGGGCAAGGGUGAUGGUAUCGCCCCAUUUCACAGAUUAGGAAGCUGAGGCAAGAUGGUGGGUUUGUCUUGAGAUCUCGCAGCAGGAAAGUGGGAAGAUGCUAAUCCAGCGGCACCAGGCAGGACGGUGAAGAGCUCGAAGGCACAAACUUCAGAUUUAGAUCCCAGCCCUCCUCCAUCUUCCUCAGCUGAGUUACUGCGCUAACUAAAUCAACCUCUCUGAACCUCGGUCUCUUCAUCUAAGAAACAGAGAUCCAAUCGAGAUGUUCACAAUGGAGCUGAUAAGCCAUGGCGUAAAAUGAAAUGAUUCCAGCCUCCAGCCUGCCUGAGUUGAAGGGGAAAAAAGGACAUUUCCUUGUAACUCCAGGAAGAUCAGAGUCUCACGGAUGCAGAGAAACGAGAAGGCAGGCUUCAGCGUCCAGGCAUUAGCCAAGAAACCUUGGUUGCAACAGAAGCCAGUUGGAGUAGCUUCAACAAAGAGUCAAGAUGGGCUAUGAGGCGCCAAGGUGGCCUCGUUAGCGCUCCAAAGGCAUGAAGGUGCCCAGGGUUCAGAAAGGGCCAGGAGCCUGCCACCCAGGGGCCUUCUCUCUGCUUCAUGCGUCUGCCCCUCUCUACCUCUUCCUUCCGCACAUCCUGGCUUUCUCCGUGACGUCUCUUCAGCACAACGGAGGUGGCCACCUGAGAGACCAGCUGGGAUCAAACUAGGAUACGAUUGGCCCAGUGCCAAGGGAAGGGCUUGGUUGGCUCCGCUUGGGCCAGAUGCCCAACCCAGCUGGUGUCAGAGCCAAGUUCUACAGACAUGGCACCUGCUCCUGAGAGGAGCGAAGGGCGGUCAAGGGGGUCGCUGUGAGCUGGGCAGGUGCCCCCAAGAAAUGUCAUACGAUGAACAACCACUUCUUUCAUUGUACCUCCCAAC